UCCCCACGAGGCUAGAACUCAUCCGCCGCCUCCUCCGGGUUAAAAACCAGGGCAUGCUUCCAUCUGCAUCGAGCACGCCGGCCUCCUCGCGGCGCUACCUCUGCCCGCGGCCUCCAAGCUGGUUGAGAUCCGGCUUCAAAUCUGAUUGACGUUUUUUUCUCGGCGCCCGAUUUGAUUGGAUUCUGCCCUGUACUGGCUACGGACGGAUGAAGCUAGGAGACCUGUACAGCCUACAUACGCUCAAGAGAUCCGGCUUCAAAUCAACAUGAAGUUUUUUCCUCUGCGUCUGAUUUGAUUGGAUUCUGAUCUACCUCAAUCCCCCAGAUUUCUUUGGAUUUAUUGGAUUGUGGAUUUGCUCGCUAAAGCUAGGAGGCCUGUACCAUCUAUGGACGCUGCGGAACACCUAAUUGCAUCGGUACAAGAAACACUAGGAACAUCGCGUGAUUCUGCACCCUUUGACGGUCAGUUGUCUACUAUCCUUGAUACAACAACUAAAGUUAUUCUAGGGCACUAAGUAGGAGAGGCUGACCAAGACAUGUAUACUGCUCCAGCGGCCAUCAUGGUUGUCUCAAAAGGCAACUACUCUUUGUGAUUAUCUUUGAAUCGUCAAUUUCCUCUAUUAUUGUUAGUUUUUGUUUAUUUUUUUCAUGCCUUUUCCUUGCCAUUGAUGAUAUUCAUCUCUUUUGUUUCAAUUCAUUCUCUCCACUUAAGUAGCAAUAUCUUUAUUGUUGUGCUAUUCUUGAAAGGAAGGAGCAGUAGAGAAGGCUUCCA